rnacentral:rRNA from 1 species
UACGUAGGGCGCAAGCGUUGUCCGGAAUUAUUGGGCGUAAAGAGCUCGUAGGUGGCGUGUCGCGUCUGCCGUGAAAGCCCAUGGCUUAACUGUGGGCCUGCGGUGGAUACGGGCAGGCUGGAGGCUGGUAGGGGCAAGCGGAAUUCCUGGUGUAGCGGUGAAAUGCGCAGAUAUCAGGAGGAACACCGGUGGCGAAGGCGGCUUGCUGGGCCAGUUCUGACGCUGAGGAGCGAAAGCGUGGGGAGCGAACAGG